UUUAAAAAUAUUUAAUUUUUUUUAACAGUGUCUCCCCAACCUUCUCCUCCUUGUUCUGUUCCGUUUAUCCCUUUCCGUCUCUGACGCAGAGAGACCGAGCUCCCAUUGGCGCCUUUUAACCCCUCGGAUUCGUCCAGACAAACGCCGAAUUCCAAUCCCAUCGGGUUCCAGUCCAAUCCAAUCCGACCCACAGUGAAAAAUCCAGAUGAAGCGCUACAGGAACGGAGAAAUCUGGGACUUCGAGCACCAAAUGCCGGUGGCCGCCGGCGCUGGCGGUGUUAUAUUGGGUUUGGACGGCGGAACCACCUCCACCGUCUGCAUUUGCAUGCCGAUUUUGCCCUUCUCCGACCCUUUCCCCGACCCGGUUCCCGUCCUCGCUCGAGCUGUCGCUGGCUGCACCAACCACAACAGCGUUGGCGAGGCCGCUGCGAGGGAAACAUUGGAGCAGGUGAUGGCGGAAGCGUUGGCCAAUUCUGGUUCGAACCGAUCGGUGGUUCGGGCUGUUUGUUUGGCGAUUUCCGGUGUCAACCACCCCACUGAUCAGCAGAGGAUAUUGGAUUGGCUGAGGGAUAUAUUUCCCAGCCAUGUGAGGUUGUAUGUUCAGAAUGAUGCUGUUGCUGCUCUAGCUUGUGGGACUUUGGGGAAGCUUCAUGGGUGUGUUCUAAUUGCUGGCACGGGGACCAUUGCGUACGGGUUCACAGAAGACGGUAGAGAAGCUCGGGCAGCCGGUGCAGGUCCUACCUUAGGUGAUUGGGGAAGUGGAUACGGUAUAGCUGCACAGGCAUUAACCGCUGUGGUAAGGGCCAACGAUGGUCGUGGUCCAGAUACAAAGCUUACAUCUAGUAUUUUAGAGGAGCUUGGUCUUUCUUCUCCAGAUGAACUCAUCGGAUCUUACUGUCCUGCAGCAAAACUUUUACGCAGUUUUGGCGAAAAUAGACGGCAAGGUGGACGUAUGCAGACCCAUCAUGGGCUCGCAUUGCAGCACUUGUUCCAGUUGUUGUUUCUUGUGCAGAGGCUGGUGAUGAAGUUGCGAAUAAGAUUCUGUUUGAUUCAGUCCAGGAGUUAGGGCUGAGUGUGAAAGCUGUUGUUCAAAGACUUGGCUUGUGUGGUCCAGAGGGAAAAGAUUCUUUUCCGCUCGUCAUGGUUGGUGGUGUUCUUGAAGCAAACAAAAGGUGGGAUAUAGGAACGGAAGUCAUCAAAUGCAUCUCCAAGGGCUACCCAGGGGCAGUUCCAAUUAGGCCUAAGGUUGAGCCUGCAGUUGGAGCAGCAUUGCUAGCAUGGAAUUUUUGCAUGAAAGAAUCUCUGAAGGAAGCCUUCAAGAGGUGACUGUCGUUGUUUUACAGUCUAUGAAUUGUAUAGUCGAAAGGAUCACGACGAAGUGAAAGAGAAACAAGCAGAUCAAAAUUGCAAAUGAAAUCAUCAUCAAUAUUUUUUCGGGGUUAAGAAGUGUUUAUCAAUUUUUUUAUCUGCAUAGAAUUAGGUUUUUGAUGUAAAAGUAUCACUGUUAAUAGUGAAGUAAAGAAAAUGAUUGCAAGUGAAGCAAAAGCUCCUCGUGUGUUUUUGUUGUUUGUUCAAUUUUUUGUCUCCUAAUAGCGGUAGGAACGACUUGUUUGGCGGGCCUUAUUUAAUUAGAGAGAUGAUUCAAAUGU